ACAUAAUGCAGGAGUUUAAAAGCCACAAGUCUUUGGAAAGUUACGAGGCUUUCUGCUGUUGCUGGGUCCAUCUACAGCAGGUGAUGAAAACAGUGUUGUACUGGCCAAAGUAAGUUUAUUCACAUGCGUUUUAGCGUAUUGUAAUUACAUUGCAUUUAGAAUUAACUGCGACUGAACACUAGAUUGUAACGAGAUGUUCAAUGUAUACGAACGUUUCCAACAUGUUUUGAUGUAUGCUAAAGCUGUGUAUGUUUAGUUAUAAGUUAAUUUUUUUUGUUGGGGGCUGCAAAGUGGACAAACCAGUUCUGGGUUAGCUAGGGUAGUUAAAUGUGUGAUUGCAAGAUGUAAAUGUCCGGGUUAGAUUAAAGCCAUUUACAGCGUGAAUGCAAAGUGACUUACAUUGUAAACAAUAUAAUUCCCAAUGUCCAUAUGUGUGCACUGAGGUAAAUUGUCCAGGUCUCUGUGCCGCUGCAGGGAGCUGCCUGAGAGCUUCUCCAAACACCGCUGUUUUGCGCUUGAUGUGAGCUUGUUCCUGUAAGGUCCACUUUCUUUCGCCUUAUGUUUUUGCAUUGCUUUACUUUCUUCCUUUUCUUUCUCGUAUUCGUAGAUCCGUCUCGAUCUGUUCCGCCGACAAAAUAAAUGCGCAAAAAUGAAAGCGCUCUGAAAUGUUUAGUCGCGCCUCUGUGAAGUUCUGAAGGCAUUGCCCCUGGCAACAGAUAGCGUAUCAUUCCAUCAGGGCCGACCGGCUCAGACCCCUCCCAAAUCGGCACGUGACUCCUCAUUCUCAAUUAGUGUGUGUGUGAGAGUGUGUGUGUGCUCUUGUUUUUGUGACAUAUCAGGACACAAGUCUGUAUAAUGACAUGGGUAUGACACAGGUAUUACAAGGAGAGGGUAACUUAACAUAACCCAUGUCCCCAUUUUUCAAAAUGCUUAUAAAUCAUACAGAAUGUAUCAUACAUGUAGAAUGUAAAAAUGAAUUUUUUUUUGAGAAAGUAAAAAUGCAAACGUGUGUGUGUGUGUGUGUGUUUGUAUGUGUGUAUGGGGCGGGGGUUUAACUGGUCUCUGGUGAAUCCACGUAAUCAGGGUUGUAUAGCGGUAUGUGUUGGAAAGAACACAUAAGACUCAGUUGAAUCAAAGUUAGGAGUUUACUGUUGAUCAGGUUGAGUGGUAACCGUGAGUGGUCUGAAAAUAUCAAAGAAUAAUAAGAAAUAUUAGGUAUACAGCAGAUUAAAUGGCAUUCACACAAGCAAUAAUACAGGUUACAUUAUUAAAGUUGUUGCAGUACACAGUUGUCCACAAGGUGGCGUCGCGGGCUUACUCAUGGCAUAUGACAGCUGUCAUUGCAACAUGUCGAGAAGGGUCUGUCUGCAGACUGCAAGACGGGGGCGUAACUUGAAGUGGGCGUAACUUGAAGUAGGAGGCGUAACUUGAAAUUGUUCAAAUCACACAGAACCACGCGAGACCUCAAAACGAGAUUUUGUCGGGAUGCGUUCGAAACCGCAUACCCUUUAAAUUAGGCACUUAAUUUCAAUAAGUACUAACUAAAGGAGCGCUAAAAGAGUUUAUACUCUACAGCCUAAAUGCGUAUGUAUGAAGUAUGAAUCCAAAUUGUAUAUCAUCAUCCGCUAUGUUGAUCAUGUGACCUACAAAGUUAUAACAAGCACAAAAACGUAAAAGAUAUAAGUGACAGGUUUAAUUAUUGUAUUUGUAAUUAUCUUGAUAAUGAAGAACGUUGCAGAAACGGCUGCCUUUUUAUUUUGUGAUUGUUGUAUAGCCAAUACUGUUGAUUUUUUUAUAUAUAUAUAUUUUUAACUCCACUAAUGUGAUCAAGUGUUAUCCUUAAAACAUUUGUUUUUUAUUAGAAAACCCAAAAUCGUUAUCUCUUGAAUAUUUUUUAAAUAAUUUUACGUGAAAAACGUUUUUCUUUUAUAGCAUCUCAUACUAUGAACACAUAAUUUUUUUAUUUACUGUUUUAUGGCAUUAUGAUUGUUUAUUGUCAGAUACAACCUCUUACCAUGAUCUUUUAUGUAAUAAUUUGGCAAUAAUAAUAAAAAAGUGGGUCAGGUGCACAAACACCUCACAGCGACUGCAAUAUCUGCACAAAGGGUACUUCGAUCAGCUGCUUGAAGAUCUCAUCUUUGGAGAAGACUGUUGAUUUGACACUCUAAAAAUUGAUCCUCCUGCCAUCUGAACACAGCUGAUACAGUUCUGCCGCUGCACUUCACAAUCUCACUCUUCUCAAUGGGGAUGUCGUUGAGCAACAGGAUGAGGAAGACCUUGAUGACGGCUCUCUGAACCACACAACCUUGAAG